rnacentral:rRNA from 1 species
GACGAACGCUGGCGGCGUGCUUAACACAUGCAAGUCGAACGAUGAAGCCCAGCUUGCUGGGUGGAUUAGUGGCGAACGGGUGAGUAACACGUGGGCAACCUGCCCCAAACUCUGGGAUAACUCCUCGAAAGAGGUGCUAAUACCGGAUACGAACUAGACAGACAUCUGUACUAUUUGGAAAGUUUUUCGGUUUGGGAUGGGCCCGCGGCCUAUCAGCUUGUUGGUGAGGUAACGGCUCACCAAGGCUACGACGGGUAACCGGCCUGAGAGGGCGACCGGUCACACUGGGACUGAGACACGGCCCAGACUCCUACGGGAGGCAGCAGUGGGGAAUUUUGGACAAUGGGGGCAACCCUGAUCCAGCCAUGCCGCGUGAGUGAAGAAGGCCUUCGGGUUGUAAAGCUCUUUCGGCGGGGAAGAAAUGGCAACGGCUAAUAUCCGUUGUUGAUGACGGUACCCGCAUAAGAAGCACCGGCUAACUACGUGCCAGCCGCCGCGGUAA